rnacentral:rRNA from 1 species
AUGGAUUGCCCUGGUUUCAUACGGGUAGAUGGAGCUAGGGUAGCUCCAGGUGAUGCUAUUCAACCCGUAUCCAAUGUUCCCCAUGGGCACAUGCAAAAUAUCACAAUAAGAGUGCUUAAGGAAAGAACAAGUGGAGACUGGUGGGUGUACUACGGCUUCAACAGUGUCCCCACAGGGGUGGGGCGCUUCCCAAGGUCAUCGUUCACCUACUUAGCAGAUAAAGCAAACCAUUUUGCUUUUGGUGGUGCUGUGAUUUCUCAUAGGGCAGAUCCAACUCCUCCAAUGGGCAGUGGUUCCUUCCCAAAUGGUGGUCAAGGUCGCGCUGCAUCUUUCACCAAUCUUCGUAUCAUUGAUGAGUAUGGGAACAGCAAGCCCAUCACGGCAGACUUGCCCGUGUUGGUUACGAAUAACAAAUGUCAUACUAUUACUCCUAUUAAUCAUGGUGAAUGCCUUUAUGGUGGGCCUGGAGGUUGUGUAAGAUAA